AUGACCAACGCCUCCAUAGGAUCCUCUAUUUUAUGGUAGAAGUCAACUCAUUUGGGUAUUAUUCUACUAUACUGUCAUGACCUAAACCUUGGGGGUUAUGACUAGUGCUAGGAUUUGGCUUAGCUUAAGGCUCCCAAAUCCCGUAACAAGCCUAAAACACUUGUAACAUGCGCAAAACACUUCUAACGUGUUCCAUCUUCAACAUACAUCAUCAGUCUAAAUAUACACAAUAUACAGCAAGCAUAUCUUUGGGAUUACAUUUUCAACCUAUGGCAACUCCAAAACAUAUCACUAUUGCACAACCACGACCCAACAUGCAAUAGACAGUUGUUGAAG
rnacentral:misc_RNA from 1 species